rnacentral:rRNA from 1 species
GAUUGAACGCUGGCGGCAUGCCUUACACAUGCAAGUCGAACGGCAGCACGGGUGCUUGCACCUGGUGGCGAGUGGCGAACGGGUGAGUAAUACAUCGGAACAUGUCCUGUAGUGGGGGAUAGCCCGGCGAAAGCCGGAUUAAUACCGCAUACGAUCUACGGAUGAAAGCGGGGGACCUUCGGGCCUCGCGCUAUAGGGUUGGCCGAUGGCUGAUUAGCUAGUUGGUGGGGUAAAGGCCUACCAAGGCGACGAUCAGUAGCUGGUCUGAGAGGACGACCAGCCACACUGGGACUGAGACACGGCCCAGACUCCUACGGGAGGCAGCAGUGGGGAAUUUUGGACAAUGGGCGAAAGCCUGAUCCAGCAAUGCCGCGUGUGUGAAGAAGGCCUUCGGGUUGUAAAGCACUUUUGUCCGGAAAGAAAUCCUUGGCUCUAAUACAGUCGGGGGAUGACGGUACCGGAAGAAUAAGCACCGGCUAACUACGUGCCAGCAGCCGCGGUAAUACGUAGGGUGCGAGCGUUAAUCGGAAUUACUGGGCGUAAAGCGUGCGCAGGCGGUUUGCUAAGACCGAUGUGAAAUCCCCGGGCUCAACCUGGGAACUGCAUUGGUGACUGGCAGGCUAGAGUAUGGCAGAGGGGGGUAGAAUUCCACGUGUAGCAGUGAAAUGCGUAGAGAUGUGGAGGAAUACCGAUGGCGAAGGCAGCCCCCUGGGCCAAUACUGACGCUCAUGCACGAAAGCGUGGGGGAGCAAACAGGAUUAGAUACCCUGGUAGUCCACGCCCUAAACGAUGUCAACUAGUUGUUGGGGAUUCAUUUCCUUAGUAACGUAGCUAACGCGUGAAGUUGACCGCCUGGGGAGUACGGUCGCAAGAUUAAAACUCAAAGGAAUUGACGGGGACCCGCACAAGCGGUGGAUGAUGUGGAUUAAUUCGAUGCAACGCGAAAAACCUUACCUACCCUUGACAUGGUCGGAAUCCCGCUGAGAGGUGGGAGUGCUCGAAAGAGAACCGGCGCACAGGUGCUGCAUGGCUGUCGUCAGCUCGUGUCGUGAGAUGUUGGGUUAAGUCCCGCAACGAGCGCAACCCUUGUCCUUAGUUGCUACGCAAGAGCACUCUAAGGAGACUGCCGGUGACAAACCGGAGGAAGGUGGGGAUGACGUCAAGUCCUCAUGGCCCUUAUGGGUAGGGCUUCACACGUCAUACAAUGGUCGGAACAGAGGGUUGCCAACCCGCGAGGGGGAGCUAAUCCCAGAAAACCGAUCGUAGUCCGGAUUGCACUCUGCAACUCGAGUGCAUGAAGCUGGAAUCGCUAGUAAUCGCGGAUCAGCAUGCCGCGGUGAAUACGUUCCCGGGUCUUGUACACACCGCCC